GAUAAACGCUGGCGGCGUGCCUAAUACAUGCAAGUCGAACGAGGAACUUUGUAGCAAUACGAGGUUUCCUAGUGGCGAAUGGGUGAGUAACGCGUUGGUGACCUGCCCCGAAGAUAUGAAUAACAGCUCGAAAGGGCUGCUAAUACGUAAUGUGGUCACGAGGGUUAGAGUCCUUGUGUCUAAAGGAGCAAUCCACUUCGGGAGGGGCCUGCGUCCCAUCAGCUAGUUGGUAGGGUAAUGGCCUACCAAGGCUGCGACGGGUAGGGGACCUGAGAGGGUGGCCCCCCACACUGGCACUGAAACACGGGCCAGACACCUACGGGUGGCUG
rnacentral:rRNA from 1 species